rnacentral:rRNA from 1 species
UCCAGACUCCUACGGGAGGCAGCAGUGGGGAAUAUUGCACAAUGGGGGAAACCCUGAUGCAGAAACGCCGCGUGAGUGAAGAAGUAUUUCGGUAUGUAAAGCUCUAUCAGCAGGGAAGAAGAAGGACGGUACCUGACUAAGAAGCCCCGGCUAACUACGUGCCAGCAGCCGCGGUAAUACGUAGGGGGCGAGCGUUAUCCGGAUUUACUGGGUGUAAAGGGAGCGUAGACGGUUAAUCAAGUCUGAAGUGAAAGCCCGCGGCUCAACUGCGGAACGGCUUUGGAAACUGAGUAACUGGAGUGCUGGAGGGGCAGGCGGAAUUCCUGGUGUAGCGGUGAAAUGCGUAGAUAUCAGGAGGAACACCGGUGGCGAAGGCGGCCUGCUGGACAGUAACUGACGUUGAGGCUCGAAAGCGUGGGGAGCAAACAGGAUUAGAUACCCUCGUAUA